AUGCAUCUCAGGCAGACCUUAAACAGUUAAUGUCUGCUGUUAAGGUUUCCACCACAGAUGCAAGAAGAAGGUCCUUGUGCUUUCUGUCUGGUGUGGCAACCAAGAUUGAAUGAGGGAACACGGGG
rnacentral:snoRNA from 1 species